rnacentral:rRNA from 1 species
GACAGAGGGUGCAAACGUUGCUCGGAAUUACUGGGCGUAAAGCGCGUGUAGGCGGACUGGUGUGUCGGAUGUGAAAUCCCCAGGCUCAACCUGGGAACUGCAUUCGAAACUGCCAGCCUUGAGUGGUGGAGAGGGAAGUGGAAUUCCUGGUGUAGAGGUGAAAUUCGUAGAUAUCGUAAGGAAUACCAGAGGCGAAGGCGGCUACCUGGACAAUUGCUGACGCUCAGGCACGAAAGCGUGGGGAGCAAAAGGG